UCGCGACACACGGUGUUUUUCCUUCCUAACACCUGUCACGGUCUGUAAUUAAACAUUUAUUUGUGUAAUAAUUAGAUGAGGGCGGAGCGAUAGGGGCCACCUCUCUCAGGCUCACCUUUGCAUCUUCUGUGCCUGUCACAGGACCCAGCGCAACAGUAGGUGGGCAUCGGUUACGGAGAUCAGUAACUCAAUAAAUGACUGACCUCUCCCCAGGAGAGGACAGUGAACUCUGUCCCUGGGGAUCGAACACAUGAGGGCACGAGGUGGAUAGACUGCCUCAUCCAGAUGCCUCCUUUCCCCAUCUGCAGCUCAGCACCCCUCCCAGCUGGACCAAGGCCAGACAUUUAUUAGCACAUCCUCAUUCACCAGUUGGCUUACCCAUGGAGGGUAACCCUUCAUCCUGGGUCAGUCAGGAAGGCUGGCGAUGAGUGGGUUUGGAGGGUACUUAUCCCGAUGGGGACUUCCACUCCCACCACACUGGCCUCUGGUUUCUUUGGUUUUUCUUCUGUGACAGGUGCUCUGCCCCAAAUGCCAGCCCCCUUGACGCUCUGCUCAGUAUCCACCGGUCUGUCCCUCUAGGGAACCGGCCCCCUGUCAUGGGACUGGGGUUUUAGUCCGUCACUUAGUGGCUGUGUGACCUUGAACAUGCUGCAUCUGCUCUCUGAGCCUUAGUUUCCUUAAUUCAUACAUAGGACCUAGAGCAUGGUGUUCUGUUACUACGCCAGGGAGCUCGGGGAACGAAUUAGAGACUACAGAUGGGAAGCCUUCCUCACCGAACGUAAAAAAACAAAAAAACAGAACCUGCCCACAAAUCUCCAUUUGGAAAGAGCAUCAUCUGAAGUGACAUCUGAAGGACAAAGAGGAAUUACUUUAAGAGAUCUACUGUGGACAGAAUGUUUAUGUGGAAGCCCUCAUCCCCAGUGUGAUGGUGUGAGAAGGUGGGACCAUUGGAAGGUAAUUAGGUUUCGAUGAGGUCCUGAGGAUGGAGCCGCCAUGAUGGAACAAGUGCCCUUCGAAGACAAGACGCUGGCGCUUCCUCUCCACGUUAGGAUGCGUCGGGAAGGUGGCCGGCGGUGCAAGCCAGCACCUUGAUCCUGGACUUCCAGCCUCCGGAACAGCGAGAAAUACAUGUUUGUUGUUUAAGCCAGUCCAUGUUAUAGUAGCCUGAACUAAGAGAACAACUUUAUGAAACAGGAACACUUUUUUCAUCCUUUUAGUGAAUAUGGAAGCUGAGAGAGAUGACAUGUUCUACCCAUGGGCACAGAACUGGUAAGUAGAUGCGUUGGGGUUUGAACCUGGCUUGUGUGGUUCCACAGCCUGUGCUUUGACCCCUCCUAGCUGCCCUGCCUUUCAAUCAUUGUCGAUGAUUUAACAUCUAGCCAAGAGGGAUGCAGCAUUAAUAUGCAUUGAUUCACCCCUAUUUAUCAGAUACUGUGCUAAGGACUGGGGAUAUACAGUCAAGAAACCUCUUCAAGUUCAGCAUCUGGUCAGGAGACAGGCAAAGGAGUCACUGAUUACAGGAAGGUGUGAUAAAUCUGAAGAUGCAGCCCUGCAGGGAACUAUGGGAUAGCAGAGGAGGGGCUUGGGUAGGAUGGAGAGGGGAGGGCUUAGGAGACUUUGAGCCUGACUUUGAAGCCCAGCUUGAUUUCAAACUAGUGGUUUGACCUUGAGAAAACCACUUAGCCUCUCUAAGCCUUAAUUUUCUCAUUUGAGGGAAAAGGAGAGACGAAAUCAAAUGGUGUAUGUGGCAGGAAUUCCCUAAGAUGAGAGUGAGAGCCCUGUGGCUUGUGUAUCUGGGAAGGCUUCAUGGAGGAGGAGACGUGUGUGCUUGGUUUGGAGAGGAGGAUUGGAUGCUCCAAGCUGUGAUAACAGCACCUGGAUAGAGAGUUGUGGUUCAUUAGGGUUUAAUGGCUAAAGUGGCCCUGAGUUGAGUUUACCUCUUUUCUUGGACACUGUCUGAUGUGGCCUCUUC
ensembl:lncRNA